rnacentral:rRNA from 1 species
UCAGGAUGAACGCUGGCGGCGUGCCUAACACAUGCAAGUCGAACGAGCGAGAGAUGAAACCUAGUGAUCUCAAGCGAGUGGCGGACGGGUGAGUAACGCGUGGGUAACCUGCCUUACGAGAGGGGGAUAACAGUCUGAAAAGACUGCUAAUACCGCAUAAGCACACAGUACCGCAUGGUACAGGGUGAAAAGAUUUAUCACUGUAAGAUGGACCCGCGUCUGAUUAGCCAGUUGGCAGGGUAACGGCCUACCAAAGCGACGAUCAGUAGCCGACCUGAGAGGGUGAUCGGCCACAUUGGGACUGAGACACGGCCCAAACUCCUACGGGAGGCAGCAGUGGGGGAUAUUGCACAAUGGAGGAAACUCUGAUGCAAGCGACGCCGCGUGAGGGAUGACGGUUUUCGGAUUGUAAACCUCUGUCUUCGGUGAUGAUAAUGACAUUAGCCGAGGAGGAAGCCACGGCUAACUACGUGCCAGCCGCGGC